rnacentral:rRNA from 1 species
CCUGUGAGGGUUGCUGGAGGUAUCAGAAGUGCGAAUGCUGACAUAAGUAACGAUAAAGCGGGUGAAAAGCCCGCUCGCCGGAAGACCAAGGGUUCCUGUCCAACGUUAAUCGGGGCAGGGUGAGUCGACCCCUAAGGCGAGGCCGAAAGGCGUAGUCGAUGGGAAACAGGUUAAUAUUCCUGUACUUGGUGUUACUGCGAAGGGGGGACGGAGAAGGCUAUGUUAGCCGGGCGACGGUUGUCCCGGUUUAAGCAUGUAGGCUGGUUAUCCAGGCAAAUCCGGAUAAUCAAGGCUGAGGUGUGAUGACGAGGCACUACGGUGCUGAAGUAACAAAUGCCCUGCUUCCAGGAAAAGCCUCUAAGCAUCAGGUAACAUCAAAUCGUACCCCAAACCGACACAGGUGGUCAGGUAGAGAAUACCAAGGCGCUUGAGAGAACUCGGGUGAAGGAACUAGGCAAAAUGGUGCCGUAACUUCGGGAGAAGGCACGCUGGUGUGUAGGUGAAGUCCCUGCGGAUGGAGCUGAGACCAGUCGAAGAUACCAGCUGGCUGCAACUGUUUAUUAAAAACACAGCACUGUGCAAACACGAAAGUGGACGUAUACGGUGUGACGCCUGCCCGGUGCCGGAAGGUUAAUUGAUGGGGUUAUCCGUAAGGAGAAGCUCUUGAUCGAAGCCCCGGUAAACGGCGGCCGUAACUAUAACGGUCCUAAGGUAGCGAAAUUCCUUGUCGGGUAAGUUCCGACCUGCACGAAUGGCGUAAUGAUGGCCAGGCUGUCUCCACCCGAGACUCAGUGAAAUUGAACUCGCUGUGAAGAUGCAGUGUACCCGCGGCAAGACGGAAAGACCCCGUGAACCUUUACUAUAGCUUGACACUGAACAUUGAGCCUUGAUGUGUAGGAUAGGUGGGAGGCUUUGAAGCGUGGACGCCAGUCUGCGUGGAGCCAACCUUGAAAUACCACCCUUUAAUGUUUGAUGUUCUAACGUUGGCCCCUGACCGGGGUUGCGGACAGUGUCUGGUGGGUAGUUUGACUGGGGCGGUCUCCUCCCAAAGCGUAACGGAGGAGCACGAAGGUUAGCUAAUCCUGGUCGGACAUCAGGAGGUUAGUGCAAUGGCAUAAGCUAGCUUGACUGCGAGCGUGACGGCGCGAGCAGGUGCGAAAGCAGGUCAUAGUGAUCCGGUGGUUCUGAAUGGAAGGGCCAUCGCUCAACGGAUAAAAGGUACUCCGGGGAUAACAGGCUGAUACCGCCCAAGAGUUCAUAUCGACGGCGGUGUUUGGCACCUCGAUGUCGGCUCAUCACAUCCUGGGGCUGAAGUAGGUCCCAAGGGUAUGGCUGUUCGCCAUUUAAAGUGGUACGCGAGCUGGGUUUAGAACGUCGUGAGACAGUUCGGUCCCUAUCUGCCGUGGGCGCUGGAGAAUUGAGGGGGGCUGCUCCUAGUACGAGAGGACCGGAGUGGACGCAUCACUGGUGUUCGGGUUGUCAUGCCAAUGGCACUGCCCGGUAGCUAAAUGCGGAAGAGAUAAGUGCUGAAAGCAUCUAAGCACGAAACUUGCCCCGAGAUGAGUUCUCCCUGAGACUU